rnacentral:tRNA from 1 species
GGAGAAUAGUUCAAGUGGUAGAACGCCUGCUUAGCAUGCACGAGGUCCUGGGUUCAAUCCCUAGUACCUCCA